GUGCUCACUUCAACAGCACAUAUGCUAGAACUGGAGCGAUACAGAGAUUAGCGUGGUCUCUGUGCAAGGACGGCAGAGGAAUUCCUGAAGUGUUACAUAUUUUU